CUGCUUCUUGUUAACUCCGGGAAAGAGAGAAAAAAAAAAGGAAAAACAGAGAAAUGUGGAGUUACCGCCUGGCUUGGGGCCAGUCCCUCAGACAGGCCACAUGAAACUCGAGCCAAAGCUGCACAGGAGGCCCUGGGCUGGUGACUGGGUGGGGAAUGGGAGCCAGAGCCACAGCUCCUCUGGGCCAGGACAGCGUCCUAAGGGAAGGGACAAAGAGGGAGCCACGAGGAGAGAGCGGAGGGAGCAGGAGGACAGGAGGACUGUGCAGGGGAGAAGGAUGAGCAAGGCCCUGAGCCCCUCUGCACCACUGGUCCAGCUGGGAACUCUGCAGCCCGUGCUGGGAAGGUACCAAACUUCUGUAGCCAGUCUCCCUGGAGACAAGACCCAGUCCUCCCUUCCUCAGGUCUGUUAAUUUCUCACUCCUCAGCAAACUUCUGGCCUCAUGUCCUGUCCUUGAAAAGUCACACUAAUCACAGAUACU
rnacentral:lncRNA from 1 species